AAUAGAUACCCAGGUAGUCCACGCCGUAAACGAUGAGUGCUAAGUGUUAGAGGGUUUCCGCCCUUUAGUGCUGCAGCUAACGCAUUAAGCACUCCGCCUGGGGAGUACGGUCGCAAGACUGAAACUCAAAGGAAUUGACGGGGGCCCGCACAAGCGGUGGAGCAUGUGGUUUAAUUCGAAGCAACGUGAAGAACCUUACCAGGUCUUGACAUCCUCUGACAACCCUAGAGAUAGGGCUUCUCCUUCGGGAGCAGAGUGACAGGUGGUGCAUGGUUGUCGUCAGCUCGUGUCGUGAGAUGUUGGGUUAAGUCCCGCAACGAGCGCAACCCUUGAUCUUAGUUGCCAUCAUUAAGUUGGGCACUCUAAGGUGGCUGCCGGUGACAAACCGGAGGAAGGUGGGGAUGACGUCAAAUCAUCAUGCCCCUUAUGACCUGGGCUACACACGUGCUACAAUGGGCGGUACAAAGGGCAGCGAAACCGCGAGGUGGAGCCAAUCCCAUAAAGCCGCUCUCAGUUCGGAUUGCAGG
rnacentral:rRNA from 1 species